rnacentral:misc_RNA from 1 species
CCAUAAUAAAAUAACUAAGAUGAUUGCUUUUUUAUAACAAAUAUUAUUAAGCAAUUUAAAUGAUCAAAAUUACACUAAAUAAUUAUAACAGCUAAAAAAUGUUUUGUUUAUACUUAUAGAGAUGUUCACUUCACUAGAAUGGAAUAAAGUUGUCUGCAAAGAGAGAGUUGUUCUUUCGUCAGGAUGGGCAACCAGUUUCUACUAGUAUUACAUCUAAUACAACUACAACAACUACAAGCACAACGAAUUCGGUGACGUUAAAAGAAUCUAUAUUCAAUAAAGAAAAAGAAAUUGUAAAAGACAUGUCACAUUCAAAGGAAUCAGAUGGUUAUGUUGGUUUUGCCAAUCUCCCAAAUCAAGUCUAUCGUAAAGCAGUCAAAAGAGGAUUUGAGUUUACAUUAAUGGUUGUAGGUGUGUAUUAUUUUUAAUUUCAUCUAUUCU